UUGGAGGUAGUGACAAUAAAUCACAAUGCGGAACAAUGUUUUGCAAUUGGAUUGAGAACAACGUACAAACCUUAUCGAUAAACAAUUGGAGGGCAAGUCUGGUGCCAGCAGCCGCGGUAAUUCCAGCUCCAAUAGCGUAUAUUAACGUUGUUGCAGUUAAAAAGCUCGUAGUUGAAAUGAAGGGUAGUUGUGUAAUGAAUACAUUCGUGUAUUUUGUUAUUCAACUACCCUCCUUCUAAAUUCGAUAUAUGAGUAUUAAUUUACUUGUAUAUGGUUUUAGACUUUUACUGUGAGAAAAUUAGAGUGUUCAAAGCAGGCAUUUGCUUGAAUAUAUUAGCAUGGAAUAAUCAUGUAUGAUUUUCAUGAUGUAUUUGAUUGGUUUGGUUCAUGAGAAUAAGAUUAAAAGGGACAGUUGGGGGUAUUCAUAUUCAAUAGUCAGAGGUGAAAUUCUCGGAUUUAUGGAAGAUGAACAAGUGCGAAAGCAA
rnacentral:rRNA from 1 species